AUUGAACGCUGGCGGCAUGCCUUACACAUGCAAGUCGAACGGCAGCACGGGGGCAACCCUGGUGCGAGUGGACGGAACGGGUCGAGUAACGUGCAUCGGAAUGUGCCCAGUAGUGGGGGAUAACGUAGCGAAAGCUACGCUAAUACCGCAUACGACCUACGGGUGAAAGCGGGGGACCGAAAGGCCUCGCGCUAUUGGAGCAGCCGAUGUCUGAUUAGCUAGUUGGUGGGGUAAAGGCCUACCAAGGCGACGAUCAGUAGCUGGUCUGAGAGGACGAUCAGCCACACUGGGACUGAGACACGGCCCAGACUCCUACGGGAGGCAGCAGUGGGGAAUUUUCCGCAAUGGGCGCAAGCCUGACGGAGCAAGACCGCGUGGGGGAGGAA
rnacentral:rRNA from 1 species